GACGAACGCUGGCGGCGUGCUUAACACAUGCAAGUCGAACGGAAAGGCCAGGCGUUUGUGGGGUGCUCGAGUGGCGCACGGGUGAGUAACACGUGAGUAACCUGCCCUUGACUGUGGGAUAACUUCAGGAAACUGGGGCUAAUACCGGAUAGGAGCUCCUGCUGCAUGGGGGGGGUUGGAAAGUGUCGGCGGUGGGGGAUGGACUCGCGGCUUAUCAGCUUGAUGGUGGGGUAGUGGCUUACCAAGGCUUUGACGGGUAGCCGGCCUGAGAGGGUGACCGGCCACAUUGGGACUGAGAUACGGCCCAGACUCCUACGGGAGGCAGCAGUGGGGAAUAUUGCACAAUGGGCGGAAGCCUGAUGCAGCAACGCCGCGUGCGGGAUGACGGCCUUCGGGUUGUAAACCGCUUUCGCCUGUGACGAAGCGUGAGUGACGGUAAUGGGUAAAGAAGCACCGGCUAACUACGUG
rnacentral:rRNA from 1 species